rnacentral:rRNA from 1 species
CGGAGGCUACCGCUAUUGGAGUCCGAUUAAGACAUGCGAGUCGAGAGCUUUCGGAGCUCGGCAUACUGCUCAGUAACACGUGGGUAACCUGCCCUGUGCUGGGGGAUAACCUCGGGAAACUGAGAACAAUACCCCAUAGUCCACUACGCCUGGAACGGUGAGUGGAUGAAAGCCCCGGCGGCACAGGAUGGGCCUGCGGCGUAUCAGGUAGUAGGGGGUGUAAAGUACCCUCUAGCCUUCGACGCGUACGGGUUGUGAGAGCAAUAGCCCGGAGAUGGAUUCUGAGACACGAAUCCAGGUCCUACGGGACGCAGCAGUCGCGAAACCUUGACAAUGCGGGAAACCGUGAUCAGGGGACUCCAAGUGCCAGGAGUAAGAUCCUGUGCUUUUCUUUUCUCUUCAAAGGAUUUGGAAUAAGAGGUGGGUAAGGACGGUGCCAGCCGCCGCGGUAAUACCGGCGCCUCGAGUGGUAGUCGAUUUUAUUGGGCCUAAAACGUCCGUCGCCGGUCUGGUGCAUUCGUGGGUAAAUCAACCCGCUCAACGGGUUGAAUUCUGCGAGCACGGCCAGACUAGGGACCGGGAGAGGUGUGGGGUACGCUCGGGGUAGGGGUAAAAUCCUGUCAUCCCGAGCGGACCACCUGUUGCGAAGGCUCCACACUAGAACGGAUCCGACGGUCAGGGACGAAGCCUAGGGGCACGAACCGGAUUAGAUACCCGGGUAGUCCUAGGUGUAAACGCUGUGGACUUGGUGUUGGGAGCUCCAGAGGGCUCUCAGUGCCGUAGCGAAGGUGAUAAGUCCCACUGCCUGGGGAGUACGGUCGCAAGGCUGAAACUUAAAGGAAUUGGCGGGG